rnacentral:rRNA from 1 species
UUAAAUUGAAGAGUUUGAUCAUGGCUCAGAUUGAACGCUGGCGGCAGGCCUAACACAUGCGAGUCGAACGGUAACAGGAAGCAG